rnacentral:rRNA from 1 species
AGUGAACGCUGGCGGUAGGCCUAACACAUGCAAGUCGAACGGCAGCACAGUAAGAGCUUGCUCUUACGGGUGGCGAGUGGCGGACGGGUGAGGAAUACAUCGGAAUCUACUUUUUCGUGGGGGAUAACGUAGGGAAACUUACGCUAAUACCGCAUACGACCUACGGGUGAAAGCAGGGGAUCUUCGGACCUUGCGCGAUUGAAUGAGCCGAGGUCGGAUUAGCUAGUUGGCGGGGUAAAGGCCCACCAAGGCGACGAUCCGUAGCUGGUCUGAGAGGAUGAUCAGCCACACUGGAACUGAGACACGGUCCAGACUCCUACGGGAGGCAGCAGUGGGGAAUAUUGGACAAUAGGCGCAAGCCUGAUCCAGCCAUACCGCGUGUGUGAAGAAGGCCUUCGGGUUGUAAAGCCCUUUUGUUGGGAAAGAAAAGCAGCAGGUUAAUACCCCGCUGUUCUGACGGUACCCAAAGAAUAAGCACCGGCUAACUUCGUG